GCUAACACGAGGACAGGGGCGAGGUGAAGACGGAGGGUGCAAGCGUCAAUCGGAAUGACUGGGCGUAAAGCGGACGCAGGCGGUCUGUCAAGGCGGAUGUGAAAGCCCCGGGCUCAACCUGGGAACUGCAUUCGAAACUGGCAGGCUAGAGUCUGGUAGAGGGGGGUAGAAUUCCAGGUGUAGCGGUGAAAUGCGUAGAGAUCUGGAGGAAUACCGGUGGCGAAGGCGGCCCCCUGGACAAAGACUGACGCUCAGGUGCGAAAGCGUGGGGAGCAAACAGGAUUAGAUACCCUGGUAGUC
rnacentral:rRNA from 1 species